GACGAAGGGGGCUAGCGUUGUUCGGAAUUACUGGGCGUAAAGCGCGUGUAGGCGGUUGCCCUAGUCAGGUGUGAAAGCCUUGAGCUCAACUCAAGAAAUGCACUUGAUACUGGGCGACUAGAGGACCGGAGAGGAUAGUGGAAUUCCCAGUGUAGUGGUGAAAUACGUAGAGAUUGGGAAGAACACCAGUGGCGAAGGCGGCUAUCUGGACGGUUUCUGACGCUAAGACGCGAAAGCGUGGGGAGCAAACAGG
rnacentral:rRNA from 1 species